CACGUAGGGCGCAAGCGUUGUCCGGAAUCAUUGGGCGUAAAGCGCGUGUAGGCGGCUCGAUAAGUCUGCUGUGAAAGUCCAGGGCUCAACCCUGGGAUGCCGGUGGAUACUGUCGGGCUCGAGUCCGGAAGAGGAGUGUGGAAUUCCUGGUGUAGCGGUGAAAUGCGCAGAUAUCAGGAGGAACACCAAUGGCGAAGGCAGCACUCUGGGACGUGACUGACGCUGAGACGCGAAAGCGUGGGGAGCAAACAGG
rnacentral:rRNA from 1 species